UGAGUACGAGAUGCUACGGCAUCGAAGCAGUCUAUGUCAUACUUCCAAGAAAAGCUUGCAAUGUCAUAAACAAAUAAUGCCUGUACCAUAACCGACACAGGUGGGUAGGUAGAGUAUACUAAGGGGCGCGAGAUAACUCUCUCUAAGGAACUCGGCAAAAUGACUCCGUAACUUCGGGAGAAGGAGUGCCUUAUUUUUAUAAGGUUGCAAUAACAAGAUCCAAGCAACUGUUUACCAAAAACACAGGUCUCCGCUAAGUCGUAAGACGAUGUAUGGGGGCUGACGCCUGCCCAGUGCCAGAAGGUUAAAGAAGUUGGUUAGCAUUAGCGAAGCUGAUAACUGAAGCCCUGGUGAACGGCGGCCGUAACAAUAACGGUCCUAAGGUAGCGAAAUUCCUUGUCGGGUAAGUUCCGACCCGCACGAAAAGCGUAAUGAUUUGGAUACUGUCUCGGAGAGGGGCUCGGUGAAAUAGACUUGUCUGUGAAGAUGCGGACUACCUGCACCUGGACAGAAAGACCCUAUGAAGCUUUACUGUAACUUGAGAUUGAAAUUGGACUUUAUCUGCGCAGUAUAGGUGGGAGACGUUGAAAAUAUUCUUGCGGGAAUAUUGGAGUCAUCAGUGAGAUACCACUCUUAUAAUGUUAGAUUUCUAACUUUGUAUCAUUAUCUGGUCAAAGAACAGUUUCAGGCGGGCAGUUUGACUGGGGCGGUCGCCUCCCAAACGGUAACGGAGGCGCACAAAGGUUUCCUCUGAACGUGUAGAAAUCGUAUCUAGAGUGUAAAGGCAUAAGGAAGCUUGACUGUGAGACCUACAAGUCGAGCAGGGACGAAAGUCGGUCUUAGUGAUCUGACGGUGCUGAGUGGAAAGGCCGUCACUCAACGGAUAAAAGUUACUCUAAGGAUAACAGGCUGAUCUCCCCCAAGAGUUCACAUCGACGGGGAGGUUUGGCACCUCGAUGUCGGCUCAUCGCGUCCUGGGGCGGUAGUACGUCCCAAGGGUUGGGCUGUUCGCCCAUGAAAGCGGUACGCGAGCUGGGUUCAGAACGUCGUGAGACAGUUCGGUCCAUAUCCGGUGUAGGCGUUAGAAUAUUGAGAGGAGCCUUCUUUAGUACGAGAGGACCGAGAAGGACAUACCUCUGGUGUACCAGUUAUCGUGCCAACGGUAAACGCUGGGUAGCCAUGUAUGGAGAGGAUAACCGCUGAAAGCAUCUAAGUGGGAAGCCCACCUCAAGAUAAG
rnacentral:rRNA from 1 species